CAAUAUAGCCUGCAGGUGUGCAUGGUAAUGUGGUUUGCAGGUCUCACUGACCUAGUGCACCUUUCAUUUAUUAGGCUGGCCUUUUGCAAGGUUGGUCAAACCUCUUGUGUUUUCAGGAUACUAUUAUUAAUCUGAACUCUAUCAGACAAGACUAGAUCUGAAACUUUAGCAGACUUUAGGGAAUUGUAAGUGAGAAUAAGGCUGGGGAAUCUUAUCUAGAUCUAAGAAAGCGUGUCCAAUUAACUAGGUAAAUCUUAGGGUUUGGGGCUUAUCCCCCUCCCCCCCCCAGCAUCUGGUCGAUCUUUUUCUGAAUUCUUUGUUUUAAUUCUGUGGAAGUCACAAAGGAGAGCUUCCUGCUUUGUUAUUCCUGUUGUAGCAGUGCUGUAUACCUUUGGGGAAACCAAGUUGCAUCAAGUUCAAGGAACAGGUCUCCAUUUGCACGGUGUCUGUAGCAGAACCAGGACCAGAAUUUUUGAUCUUUGACUGUUGCUCCACAUGCUCAACUACUUUGUACUCUGCUUUGUUUGGGUGGAAGGAGACUUGCCUGAAACAUGGCACAGGUCUCUAGUGACUGGAAGCUGCCACUCUGACAGUUAUUUAAUGGUUCAGAAAUAAGGAGCUGGUGGAAAAACUCUGCCAUUUGGUACAGAAGUGGCUCCUGGCUUGGAUUCAGCCAACUGGACAGUGAAAGAGGAAACAGACCUCACAUCUUGACCUUCCUCCUGCACCCAGGAACCUUGUGAAAAAGCAGUCUGGUGCUUUGUUGGAUAGCUCAAGGAUAUGUGGAAAUAUUGUGGCCCCGUCAGUGCAGUCCAAAGACUGUCAUCAGUGGAGCCAACAGAAGGGAUCACAUUCCCUUAGGUGCUGGUAUGCUUCAGCCACAAUAUUUAUUUGUGGCUGGAGCAAGAGGACUCACUGAUGUUGGACUGGAGUCUUUGUUGUGGUGAGCCCUGCCAGAUACACUAAGCACUUUAAAUAUCUGAGCAGAUGCAUCCUGGAAGCUCUGCCACUGGUGUCAAUUGGGAAUCCUGUUCCUUACCUUACAAAAUCUAGACUUAAUUUAUUGACUGUCUCCGAGACUCAGCUGCCAGCUUACUGCAUUUGUAAAGAUUUGGUCUUUUUCCUUCAUCAGUUUAACUUCAGGAUAAUGCCAUUUCACAAAAUACUGAUACAGUUCUGCCACCACUUUUCUCGGCUUGUCUCUCUGUCGAACACCCUCACUCUCUCCUUUUGAGUCUCUUUUCUGUCUCAGCUUUUUCCUCCUUCUUGCUUUGUCCUGUCUCAUUAGGUAUCGCUCAACCUUUGCACUUUUCAGAGCAUCAUUAGUCACUUCAAAGACAUUACUGAGUCCUGAGAAGUGGGUAGUAGAGGGAAUUUUAUAAAGAACGGGGAAAUAGGACCUUUGGCUGGUUGUCUGCUUUUUUUUUUUAUUAACAAACACCCUUUGGUAAUGAAGACUUCAAGGGGGCUUCAUUAGGGUUUAAGAAGAGAACAGCAUGAAGGUUAAUUACCUGGAGCCAAGAAUGUGUAUUUUCCCUUCAGCUGUCCAGUGCUAUGCUUUAAAGGCAAUCAAUGGAGAGUUGUCUGGCAAACACUCAAUCUUUCCUUGAAAUGUUCAGUGUAAUUAGAGCCUCUCCUGUCUGUCAUGAAGACAAAUUGUUUGUGGACCAUUAGCAGUUGAGUACUUUACUAUGCCUUCAACUUUUAUCAUAAUUAUAAUACCAAUAUUCAAGGAAAUAUCCCAAACUGAGAAAUGGGAACUUACAAGUAAGCUAAUUGCUUGGUAAUGAAUUGCUGCUGCUCAUGGAGAAACGUUCUAUUUUUUCCCUUCAUUUUCUUUAGGGCCAUCAGUAUUUGCAAUGCAAAUAUAAACCAGCUUAGAAGCUUUCUGUAAAAAAGAAUCAUCUAUCCUAUGGUUGUGGCUAAU